GUUUUAAUAAUUUAACAAAAAUAUUGGUCUUGUAAACCAAAAAUAAGGACGCAACCUUUUAAAACU
rnacentral:tRNA from 1 species